AGACGGAGGGGGCUAGCGUUGUUCGGAAUUACUGGGCGUAAAGCGCGCGUAGGCGGGCUGGUCAGUUGGGGGUGAAAUCCCGAGGCUUAACCUCGGAACUGCCCUCAAUACUGCCAGUCUUGAGUUCGAGAGAGGUGAGUGGAAUUCCUAGUGUAGAGGUGAAAUUCGUAGAUAUUAGGAAGAACACCAGUGGCGAAGGCGGCUCACUGGCUCGAUACUGACGCUGAGGCGCGAAAGCGUGGGGAGCAAACAGGAUUAGAUACCCCAGUAGUCC
rnacentral:rRNA from 1 species